GCAUAUCAAUAAGCGAGGAAAAGAAACCAACAGGGAUUGCCUCAGUAACGGCGAGUGAAGCGGCAAAAGCUCAAAUUUGAAAUCUAACACUUUCAGUGUUCGAGUUGUAAUUUGAAGAAAGUUUCUCUGAGUAGUCCUUUAUCUAUGUUCCUUGGAACAGGACGUCAUAGAGGGUGAGAAUCCCGUAUGAUUUUGGAUACUAUUCUUUGUGAGAUUCUUUCGAAGAGUCGAGUUGUUUGGGAAUGCAGCUCUAAGUGGGUGGUAAAUUCCAUCUAAAGCUAAAUAUUGGCGAGAGACCGAUAGCGAACAAGUACAGUGAUGGAAAGAUGAAAAGAACUCUGAAGAGAGAGUGAAAAAGUACGUGAAAUUGCUGAAAGGGAAGGGCUUUAGGUCAGACUUGGUGUUUAAUGAUUAUCUUCUCUUUUUGAGUUGUGCACUCGUUUUUCACUGGGCCAAUAUCAGUUUUUGUGGUAGAGCACCUAUUGGAAUGUAGCUUUUCUUCGGAUGAGUGUUAUAGCCUUUAGACGAUCUAUUUACGGAGACUGAGGACUGCGCGUUAUGCUAGGAUAUUGGCGUAAUGACCUUAAGCCGCC
rnacentral:rRNA from 1 species